rnacentral:lncRNA from 1 species
CGGCUACUCUGAUUGAACCAAUGUGAUUCAGCUGUGCAGGGAGUUAAUGGAGGUCAGAAAGGCAUCGUUUGAACACUAAAAAGUCUAGUUCACUAGUGUAAAACCCUCAUUAAGUGUGUGUCCUACUGAGCAGAGGUGAAACAUGUACGGACGGGCUCCCAGAGUCACAUUCCCCGCAGUCAGCGGGACACCGUCGGUGGUUGGACCGGGUUCUUAUGAAGUCAGCCACCGUUGCAUCAGAACAGCAGAUGGUUUUGCUCCAUUCUUGUCCCUGACCAACAGGAAGUCCAUAUUCACAAGCCCCGAUGAAACCAGACCAGGACCUGGACAUUAUGAGUUAUCACCCAUUAAGGUAGCCCAGUUACUACUGCAUGCCAAAACUGAUUUUGAUGUGACGGAGCAGGGAAUACAUUUGAUCCGAGAAGAAAUCGCCUCCAUUCUGCUUGCUGACACUGAUAACGUAACUGAACUAUGCCGCUGUUUGUUGUGGAGAAAAAUACAAAAAUGAUGCUCCUGUCGAUCAUUGGCUACAUAUAGACGAGGCUUUUGAAAUUUCAAAAC